UUGAACGCUGGCGGCAUGCUUUACACAUGCCAGUCGAACGGUAACAGGCCUUCGGGUGCUGACGAGUGGCGAACGGGUGAGUAAUGCAUCGGAACGUGCCCAGAGGUGGGGGAUAACGCAGCGAAAGCUGUGCUAAUACCGCAUGUGAUCUGAGGAUGAAAGCGGGGGACCAGGCAGCAAUGUUUGGCCUCGCGCCUUUGGAGCGGCCGAUGUCAGAUUAGGUAGUUGGUGGGGUAAAGGCCUACCAAGCCGACGAUCUGUAGCUGGUCUGAGAGGACGACCAGCCACACUGGGACUGAGACACGGCCCAGACUCCUACGGGAGGCAGCAGUGGGGAAUUUUGGACAAUGGGCGCAAGCCUGAUCCAGCAAUGCCGCGUGCGGGAAGAAGGCCUUCGGGUUGUAAACCGCUUUUGUACGGAACGAAAAGGCUCUGGCUAAUACCUGGGGCUGAUGACGGUACCGUAAGAAUAAGCACCGGCUAACUACGUG
rnacentral:rRNA from 1 species